GGGAGGACCAUCUCCUAAGGCUAAAUACUUCUUAGUGACCGAUAGUGAACCAGUACCGUGAGGGAAAGGUGAAAAGAACCCCGAAAGGGGAGUGAAAUAGAUCCUGAAACUGUGUGCCUACAAUUAGUCAAAGCACGUUAAUGUGUGAUGGCUUGCCUUUUGCAGAAUGAACCGGCGAGUUAUGAUAUGGAGCAAGGUUAAGUUUUAAGGAACGGAGCCGUAGCGAAAGCGAGUCUUAAUAGGGCGUUUAGUUGCAUGUCAUAGACCCGAAACUGAAGUGAGCUAGCCAUGAGCAGGUUGAAGUUUAGGUAAAACUAAAUGGAGGACCGAACCAGGACACGUUGAAAAGUGUUUGGAUGACUUGUGGCUAGGGGUGAAAUUCCAAUCGAACUCAGAGAUAGCUGGUUCUCCCCGAAAUAGCUUUAGGGCUAGCGUUGAUUUAGUAAUUUGGUGAAGGUAGAGCACUGAAUGAGUAAGGGCUCCACCUCGGGGUACCGAACUCAAUCAAAC
rnacentral:rRNA from 1 species